GAGGACUCUGCAGGACGCUGGCCAGGAGGUCCUCCCGACUUCAGGCUGGCCCUCCUCCGAAGUUGAGCAGUUAUUGGGUUUCCAAGAGAGUUAGGCCCUUCAGAAACCCUUCAAAGAGUGUACCUUCUUGGAUGCGGACUCAGGGCCCCGGCUCCGGAAGAUGUAUUCGGCCGCACUAACCGCCGCCUCGCGGAGGACGUUCGCUGCCCCGCAACUGCGACCAGCCAAGGGCGCUCCCCAGCCCUGCGAUCUACCCUGGAUUCCCUCGUUACCGGUGGUGCUCCCUUAGGGGGGAGGCUUCCGCAUCGCUUCCUUUCUGCGCCUUCAUGGGAAAUGAGAGCAAAGUGAUUCUUAAAGGGAAGAGGAAAGCGCCUCCAUGCUGGCUGGAACUCUAGUCAUCAUGGACCAUGUGAACAAGGUUAACACUCUAGAAAUGGCAAACUAACAGGAUAGAAGGAACUGAGCCCCUGGCAAUUUGGUGGCACAGAGCUUGGGCUUUAAUGUGAGAGAUAAACUUUAAUCUGUAUAAACCACUAUUACACAGAGUUUCUGUUUUAGAGAUAGCUACACUUCUCUUGUAACAAGUUGGCUGCUUUUGGUCCAGUGCGUGAGGGCUGAGAGGAGAGAGGGCAUGUGAUAGAGAACACAGCCCUACCAGCUCAAAUAACAGCUGGAAGGAGCCCUCCGCCACCCCCACCCCUCCAUCCCUGUCCCCUCCAUCAGCAAGAAAUAUAGAGUGAGCAGUUUAUUUCAAAACUGUUGUGUAUGCAAGGCACCACUAGUUGACUCAUCUGGAGCCCUUGGGAAUACUUCCCCUCCUUUUGUUAACCAGCCAUAUCACAGAAAUCCCCCUUCUUUUGUUACCCAGUCAAUGGUCAAUUCUCAGUUUUCCUCUCCCUUUACCCACACAGCACUUGAUAAAACUCACCACACCCUCUUCCUGGAAAAACUCUCUGGUUUUCCUCUUUGGCAGGUCAUUUCUUUCUCAGUCUCUAAGUAGACACUCUUCCCCAGCCUCUAAACCAGUGGUUCUCAAACUGUACCAUGAUCAGAGUCACCUGGAAGGCUUGUUAAAAACAGUGCUGACCUCAACGCUUAUUCAGGAUUCUGGAGUGGGACCUGAGACUCUGCAUUCCUCACAAGUUCCCAAGGGAUGCUGAAGCUGCUCAUUUGGAAACCCAACUGAAUGUUGGACUGUCCCAGGGCUCAGUCCUUGGGCUGCUCUUCUUUUUCUGUGAACACUUCUUAGUAAUCUUGUUCAGUCUAGAUGUUCAAAAUACCAUCCAAAUGUGAUUGACUCCCAAUUGAGAUCUCUAGCAUGGGUUUCUCCUCUGACCUUGAGCUGUCUCCUUAACUCCUUACUUGUUUAAUAAAUAUCUCCAAUAUAGGAACUUCAAAA